GUGCUCAUAGUUCAGUUGGUUAGAACGCCAGAUUGUGGUUCUGGAGGCCGUCGGUUCAAAUCCGAUUGGGCACC
rnacentral:tRNA from 1 species